GGGGAAUCUUCCGCAAUGGACGAAAGUCUGACGGAGCAACGCCGCGUGAGUGAUGACGGCCUUCGGGUUGUAAGGCUCUGUUAAUCGGGACGAAAGGUCUUCUUGCGAAUAGUUAGAAGAAUUGACGGUACCGGAAUAGAAAGCCACGGCUAACUACGUGCCAGCAGCCGCGGUAAUACGUAGGUGGCAAGCGUUGUCCGGAAUUAUUGGGCGUAAAGCGCGCGCAGGCGGAUUGGUCAGUCUGUCUUAAAAGUUCGGGGCUUAACCCCGUGAUGGGAUGGAAACUGCCAAUCUAGAGUAUCGGAGAGGAAAGUGGAAUUCCUAGUGUAGCGGUGAAAUGCGUAGAUAUUAGGAAGAACACCAGUGGCGAAGGCGACUUUCUGGACGAAAACUGACGCUGAGGCGCGAAAGCCAGGGGAGCGAACGGGAUUAGAUACCCCGGUAGUCCUGGCCGUAAACGAUGGGUACUAGGUGUAGGAGGUAUCGACCCCUUCUGUGCCGGAGUUAACGCAAUAAGUACCCCGCCUGGGGAGUACGACCGCAAGGUUA
rnacentral:rRNA from 1 species